CUCCCUAUCUUCAUUGCCUGGAAGAUGACGUCUGCUGGAUGAACAGAACACAAAUCUAGGACAGACAGACACUCUCGGAAACCCAUGCAAAGAGCCUGGUAACGAAAGCUCUGCAGGGAUAGCAGGAGCGGCUUGGCCCACAUUCAGCCCUGUCCCGAGGAGUUGGUGGGAACCCCCCAAGAAAUGGAAGCUACUCAGAAGACCUCAAUUCAAAGUGGAGGAA